rnacentral:lncRNA from 1 species
AAUUGAAAGAAUAUAAAAUAGCAGUCAAGCAAGUAAGUGGAACAAAGUUACAUGUCCAAUCUACAAAAUCUGUAUUGAUCAAUAGUUAAAAACCCCUGAUAAAUCAAAUAUUCAAUAUAUCUCAAAACAAAGCUUCAGAAACAAAAUUUACCCCUAAGCAUAACUGCAUGAUUUUCAACUGGCAGAAAACUUGGUAAUUUUAAAUUUAAUAGUAACUUGUUAGACUUAAAUUAUAAUAAUCCUAGUACUUUCCAUGAUUUAUGCUGCAAAAUUUGGGACUUGUACUUUCAAGUGGUACAUAUGAAUGAAGCAACAAGGGGCCAUCCUAGUCUCAGACACAUCAACUUGGUUGACAAAUACUUCCAAAGUUUAUUUUAAGGCAUAGUGGGAAAAAAACCCAUCUUUUAGGAAAGGUGACCACACAAGGUGAUUUCUUUUGUGCAGGAGAUACCAGCUAAAUUAUAUGAACCCCAGAACCUGCAUAUCAGUCACAGGCAACAGGCAACAUAGGUGCAUUCACAUGAUAUUGUCCCAGGUAAUUAAGCUUAUAGGCCACAAAGUUGUUCAUUUCACUAAAAGACAGAAAGAACUUAAAUUGAUAGUGAUAUAUUGUCCCAGGUAAUUAAGCUUAUAGGCCACAAAGUUGUUCAUUUCACUAAAAGACAGAAAGAACUUAAAUUGAUAGUGAUACCAGAAACAUACUCAAUCUACUGGUGGCCAACACUCUAUUUAUCUGCACAAGCGUGCACAAUAAUUAUCAAUUACAAAAAGGGUAGAUGGACACAACAAAAGAGUUCAUAUUAACCUGUAAUUGAAUAAAUUGACAUUAUGUUUUGUUUCGUAAAAAUAUCAUCCAGUGGAAAGUAAUCUUAUACUCUAUUGUAAAUGAAACCUAUUGGAAUAAGAUUUCCAACUUUUAAGUAACAUUAGCAAUGACUUCCUCAUUAACAAGUUUGGAUACGAGACUAAUCCCAGUC